rnacentral:rRNA from 1 species
CGGACGGGUGAGUAACGCGUGAGCAACCUGCCUGUCUGAGCGGGAUAACACAUGGAAACGUGUGCUAAUACCGCAUGAAGUACAUCAGCAGCAUUGCAGAUGUAUGAAAGAUUUAUCGCAGACAGAUGGGCUCGCGUCUGAUUAGCUGGUUGGAGAGGUAACGGCUCACCAAGGCGACGAUCAGUAGCCGGACUGAGAGGUUGAACGGCCACAUUGGAACUGAGAUACGGUCCAGACUCC